rnacentral:snRNA from 1 species
AUCGCUUCUCGGCCUUUUGGCUAAGAUCAAGUGUGGUAUCUGUGGAGUACAUCACAUUCAGGAAGCUUACCGCUU